rnacentral:rRNA from 1 species
UAGGGAAUCUUCGGCAAUGGACGAAAGUCUGACCGAGCAACGCCGCGUGAGUGAAGAAGGUUUUCGGAUCGUAAAACUCUGUUGUUAGAGAAGAACAAGGACGUUAGUAACUGAACGUCCCCUGACGGUAUCUAACCAGAAAGCCACGGCUAACUACGUGCCAGCAGCCGCGGUAAUACGUAGGUGGCAAGCGUUGUCCGGAUUUAUUGGGCGUAAAGCGAGCGCAGGCGGUUUCUUAAGUCUGAUGUGAAAGCCCCCGGCUCAACCGGGGAGGGUCAUUGGAAACUGGGAGACUAGAGUGCAGAAGAGGAGAGUGGAAUUCCAUGUGUAGCGGUGAAAUGCGUAGAUAUGUGGAGGAACACCAGUGGCGAAGGCGGCUCUCUGGUCUGUAACUGACGCUGAGGCUCGAAAGCGUGGGGAGCAAACAGG